CGCGUGAGUGAAGAAGGAUUUCGGUUCGUAAAACUCUGUUGCAAGGGAAGAACAAGUAGCGUAGUAACUGGCGCUACCUUGACGGUACCUUGUUAGAAAGCCACGGCUAACUACGUGCCAGCAGCCGCGGUAAUACGUAGGUGGCAAGCGUUGUCCGGAAUUAUCCCGGCGUAAAGCGCGCGCAGGUGGUUCCUUAAGUCUGAUGUGAAAGCCCCCGGCUCAACCGGGGAGGGUCAUUGGAAACUGGGGAACUUGAGUGCAGAAGAGGAUAGUGGAAUUCCAAGUGUAGCGGUGAAAUGCGUAGAGAUUUGGAGGAACACCAGUGGCGAAGGCGACUGUCUGGUCUGUAACUGACACUGAGGCGCGAAAGCGUGGGGAGCAAACAGGAUUAGAUACCCUGGUAGUCCACGCCGUAAACGAUGAGUGCUAAGUGUUGGGGGGUUUCCGCCCCUCAGUGCUGCAGCUAACGCAUUAAGCACUCCGCCUGGGGAGUACGGUCGCAAGACUGAAACUCAAAGGAAUUGACGGGGGCCCGCACAAGCGGUGGAGCAUGUGGUUUAAUUUGAAGCAACGCGAAGAACCUUACC
rnacentral:rRNA from 1 species